UGAUUUGAGAGGAUGAUCAGCCACAUUGGGACUGAGACACGGCCCAAACUCCUACGGGAGGCAGCAGUGGGGAAUCUUGCACAAUGGAGGAAACUCUGAUGCAGCGAUGCCGCGUGAGUGAAGAAGGCCUUUGGGUUGUAAAGCUCUUUCGUCGGGGAAGAAAAUGACUGUACCCGAAUAAGAAGGUCCGGCUAACUUCGUGCCAGCAGCCGCGGUAAUACGAAGGGACCUAGCGUAGUUCGGAAUUACUGGGCUUAAAGAGUUCGUAGGUGGUUGAAAAAGUUGGUGGUGAAAUCCCAGAGCUUAACUCUGGAACUGCCAUCAAAACUUUUCAGCUAGAGUAUGAUAGAGGAAAGCAGAAUUUCUAGUGUAGAGGUGAAAUUCGUAGAUAUUAGAAAGAAUACCAAUUGCGAAGGCAGCUUUCUGGAUCAUUACUGACGCUGAGGAACGAAAGCAUGGGUAGCGAAGAGGAUUAGAUACCCUCGUAGUCCAUGCCGUAAACGAUGUGUGUUAGACGUUGGAAAUUUAUUUUCAGUGUCGCAGCGAAAGCGAUAAACACACCGCCUGGGGAGUACGACCGCAAGGUUAAAACUCAAAUGAAUUGACGGGGACCCGCACAAGUAGUGGAGCAUGUGGUUUAAUUCGAAGAUACGCGCAGAACCUUACCAACACUUGACAUGUUCGUCGCGACUUUAAGAGAUUAAAGUUUUCGGUUCGGCCGGACGAAACACAGGUGCUGCAUGGCUGUCGUCAGCUCGUGUCGUGAGAUGUUGGGUUAAGUCCCGCAACGAGCGCAACCCUCACUUUUAGUUGCCAUCAUUAAGUUGGGCACUCUGAAAGAACUGCCAGUGAUAAGCUGGAGGAAGGUGGGGAUGACGUCAAGUCCUCAUGGCCCUUACGUGUUGGGCUACACACGUGCUACAAUGGUAUCUACAACAGGAAGCAAA
rnacentral:rRNA from 1 species